GCGGGGCCGCCGCCGCCGCCGCCGUCGCGGGCUUGGUGGGUGAGGAAGGGCCUAGGCCUGGGCCUGCCGUGGGGCGGCUCGCCGGGCGCCGGGGCUCGCUUCCUGCCGCCGCCUCCGCUCCAGCGUCGCCCAUCUCCCCUUCCCGGCGGGCUGGGCGCGGGAAGACGGCCGGAGCCAUGGAGGACGAGGUGGUCCGCAUCGCCAAGAAGAUGGACAAGACGGUGCAGAAGAAGAACGCGGCUGGUGCACUGGAUUUGCUGAAGGAACUUAAGAAUAUUCCUAUGACCCUGGAAUUAUUACAGUCCACAAGAAUUGGAAUGUCAGUUAAUGCUAUUCGCAAGCAGAGUACAGAUGAAGAAGUUACAUCUUUAGCAACGUCUCUCAUAAAAUCCUGGAAAAAGUUACUAGAUGGGCCAUCAACUGAGAAAGACCCUGACGAAAAGAAAAAAGAACCUGCAAUUACAUCACAGAAUAGCCCUGAAGCAAGAGAAGAAAGUAGCUCCAGCAGCAAUGUAAGCAGCAGAAAGGAUGAGACAAAUGCUCGAGAUACUUACGUUUCUUCUUUUCCUCGGGUACCAAGUACUUCUGAUUCUGUGCGAUUAAAGUGUAGGGAGAUGCUUGCUGCAGCUCUUCGAACAGGAGAUGACUACAUUGCCAUUGGAGCUGAUGAGGAAGAAUUAGGACCUCAAAUUGAGGAGGCUAUAUAUCAAGAAAUAAGGAAUACAGACAUGAAAUACAAAAAUAGAGUAUGAAGUAGGAUAUCAAAUCUUAAAGAUGCAAAGAAUCCAAAUUUAAGGAAAAAUGUACUGUGCGGGAAUAUCCUCCUGACUUAUUUGCUAGAAUGACAGCAGAGGAAAUGGCUAGUGAUGAGCUCAAAGAGAUGCGGAAAAACUUGACCAAAGAAGCCAUCCGAGAACAUCAGAUGGCCAAGACAGGUGGAACCCAGACUGACUUGUUCACAUGUGGCAAAUGUAAAAAGAAGAAUUGCACUUACACACAGGUACAAACCCGUAGUGCUGAUGAACCAAUGACAACAUUUGUUGUCUGUAACGAAUGUGGAAAUCGAUGGAAGUUCUGUUGAGUUGGAAGAAUUGGAAAUAUGUCUGGACCAUUAAGAAAACGGAUUUUGUAAUUAGCUUUAAAACUAGGCCAAGCAACUAGUUUCCUGCAGAUCAGAUUUUUAAAGCAGCAUAUAUCCCUUGGGUUAGUCUUUGUUUUUGACCUAACAUCUCUUCCUUAAAUGCCUUCAGUAGUUUCAGAUCAGUAGGGAGACCAUAUAAUAAUUGUAUGGCAUCUCUUUCAAAACAUUUCCUUUGUUUUUUAAAUAAGUUGUUAUUAAACUUUUAUCAAUUAAACUUCUGGCAGUUUAUUUUAAUAUUGUUCCCUUCUUAAAGGAAAAUGUACCGUAACUUACUUUUUACAGUGUGAAACAUACACAGUAAAAAUUCUCUGUUAUUCUUUGUUACUAAUACAAAAAUGGAAAUUACAUUUUUUUUCCUAUAUUGGCAUGUAUCUACAGAUAUUAGGGGAGGAGAAAAGGUAAUAUAAUUUUAGUUUUACCAAAUAUGGUGUGUAUUCAAAUAAUACUUGAACAGCUUAUCUAAAUUGUACAUAAUAUUUGAACUAGCGUAUGAAUUUGAUUUUAAUUAUUAUGUUCACAGACCUUGGAUAUUAGAUACUGUUUUGCAUCUGUAACUAACCGUGAUCAUCAUUUCUUGUAAUUUCUUGUAUAUGUAUGUUACUUGUUCUUAAUAGAUUUUACUUUUGGAAAAAAA